AAAAAAUUGUCAGAAAUAAUGAAAUGAAUUUAAAAUUCAUAUAUAUAU
rnacentral:tRNA from 1 species